rnacentral:tRNA from 1 species
UCCGCCUUGGUGUAGUGGUAGCACAGGGGCCUUUGGUGCCCUUAGUCUGGGUUCGAUUCCUAGAGGCGGAG